rfam:Aptenodytes forsteri contig8545, whole genome shotgun sequence.
GUUCACUUAGUAAUCAUAAGAUGACAUAUUUUGUAAAUUAUUGCUUAGUAAAUACCAUAACGUGUUGCAAGUAGUUUAUUGGAAUUUUAAGGUUAAAAUGCCAUAAAGUUUUACAUUUCAUAUUCAGAGUUGAUAUUUGGGUGGCUUCAGAAGAGAGUCAAAUUUACAAAAGGUCUUCUGGAAUAGGACUCUGGUUCUAUUUUGUUGGUUUUUGGAAAUGGGGACAUGAUUAAGAGGGACGGCCGGGGGCAUUCGUGUUGUGCUGCUAGAGGUGAAAUUCUUGGAUAGGCGCAAGAUGGCCUAGAGUGAAAGCAUUUGCCAAUAAUGUUUUCAUUAAUCAAGAACAAAAGUCAGACGUUUGAAGACAAUCGGAUACCGUCGUAGUUCUGACCAUAAACAAUGCAGACUGGUGAUAGAUUUUUUUUUGGAGGAGUCUCUGUGGCGCAAUUGGUUAGCGCGUUUGGCUGU